rnacentral:rRNA from 1 species
UACGUAGGGUGCAGGCGUUAAUCGGAAUUACUGGGCGUAAAGCGUGCGCAGGCGGUCUUUUAAGUCAGAUGUGAAAUCCCCGGGCUUAACCUGGGAACUGCGUUUGAAACUGGAAGGCUUGAGUGUGGCAGAGGGGGGUGGAAUUCCACGUGUAGCAGUGAGAUGCGUAGAGAUGUGGAGGAACACCGAUGGCGAAGGCAGCCCCCUGGGCUAACACUGACGCUCAUGCACGAAAGCGUGGGGAGCAAACAGG